rnacentral:rRNA from 1 species
AGUAAUGCUUGGGAAUCUAGCUUAUGGAGGGGGAUAACUACGGGAAACUGUAGCUAAUACCGCGUAGUAUCAAGAGAUGAAAGUGUGGGACCUUCGGGCCACAUGCCAUAGGAUGAGCCCAAGUGGGAUUAGGUAGUUGGUGAGGUAAAGGCUCACCAAGCCGACGAUCUCUAGCUGGUCUGAGAGGAUGACCAGCCACACUGGGACUGAGACACGGCCCAG